UUGUAAGGAUGGGAACAACCAGAUGCUACCACUGGCCUGGGUAGUGGUUGAAGUUGAGAAUACUUUUACUUGGAGAUGGUUUGUCGACAUUCUAAGGCAUGAUCUUGAGCUUGGAGAUGGGACUGGUUUGACAACUCUUUCAGAUAUGCAAAAGGGUCUGGAUAUAGCCAUUAACGAUCUGUUGCCAAAUGUAGAACAAAGAAUGUGUGCAAGACAUGUGCUUCCCAAUUUUUCCAAGACAUGAAAAGGCACAGAGAUUAGAAACUGCUUCUGGAGAUGUGCUAAGUCCACAUAUGAGCAGGAGUUGCAAAAAAAUUUGGAUCAUAUGGAGAAGUUAGGUGAUGGAAUAAAUGGAGAUUUGUUGUAUUACAACAUAGAUAGGUGGUCCAAGGUCUACUUUAAAUACCUCAGUUGUUGUGACAGUGUUGACAACAACAUGGCUGAGAGUUUCAAUUCCUGGAUUUUGGGGCCAAGGCACAAGACCAUUAUCAUAAUGCUUGAGGAAAUUAGAGUCAAAAUGAUGAGAAGGAUAAGACAACUAAGGGAGUUUUCUCAGACUUGGAUAAUAGAUAUCAGCCCAACGGCUUUGAAGGUAUUGCAAGAGAACACAUCAAAGUCAAUGAAGUGUACUCUUGAAUGGAAUGGUGAAUAUGGUUUUGAGGUCAAGGAAAGCUGGGGUAAUAAAUUCAUAGUAAAUCUGAACACCAAGACUUGCACUUGUAGAUCAUGGAUGCUGAAAGGUAUUCCCUGCUGUCAUGCUAUAGCUGCACUUCAUUUCAGAAAAUUGGAACCUAUUGACUAUGUUGCACAUUGUUAUACUAAGGACGCUUACCUCAAAACCUACAACUCAUUCAUUCAACCUGUUACUAAUAUGGCAAUGUGGCCAAAGUCAACCAAUCCUCCUGUCCUCCCACUUGAGAUUAAAAAGCUGCCAGGUAGGCCAAAGAAGUGUAGAAGAAAGGAGCUGACAGGUAAGCUGUCAAAAAGAGGUGUUGAGAUGACCUGCAGCUUGUGCCAUGCAAAGGGUCACAAUAAGAAGGGUUGUCCUAUGAAUCCACAAUCUGUGAGAGGCAGAGGAAGGGGAAGGGAGGAGAGGGAAAAGUACCAGUUCAACAAGGUCAAGUGUUGGUUCUUCUAUAGUACCAAGUGAUUCUCAACCAAGUAGAGGAAGGGGAAGACCAAGAGGUUCUACCAAACAGCUAUGGCUGCUAGAACAUUUCAAUCUGGAAGGGUAAGAGGACAAUAUGCUACAUCACAGGUAUUACUUAGCUUGUUAAAUUACCACUUAAUCAAUUUUACAAUUCCAAGUGUUGACACCUUAAAUGUGACUUAGGCUUCUGAUGCAAGUACAUCAGUUACUGGAAGAAGGGCACCCUUUAAGAGGCCAAGAGUUGUGGGAAUGGGAGUUCUUCAAACCUAAAGUGGUUUCACAAUUGUCAAUCCUGGAAUGCCAAAUCAGUCUUCAACCAUGCCUAUGAAUUCAGCAGUAGUCACUGGUAGUCUUGGCCAUCACAAACCAAGACCAGGAGGAAUGAAAUGGAAAAGGAGUCCAGCUAUAACACAACAAGGUCUUCAAGAGAUGAGAGGACAAAAGAGAAUGAAAACAAAGGCCAAAGCUGCUGAGUUAAAUUAUUUAAGUCAAACAAGUUCAUCAGCUGCCCAGAAAUGAAAUGAAAAAAAUGAA